GACGAACGCUGGCGGCGGGCUUAACACAUGCAAGUCGAACGGAAGGACCCUACGUGUUUGCUGUUCUCGAGUGCCGAACGGGGGAGGAACACGUAAAUAACCGACCCUACACUUUGGGGGAACUUCAGGAAACGGGGGCUAAUACCGGAUAGGAUCUCCUCCUCGAGGGUGAGGGGUGGAUAGUCGGAGCUGGUGCGAAUGAACGCGCGGCGGUUUAGCUAGUUGGUGGGGGAGAGGCUCGCCAAGGCGUGGAAGGGUAGCCGGCCUGAGAGGGUGACUAGCCACACUGGGACUGUGACACGCUCCAGACUCCUACGGGAGGCAGCAGUGGGGAAUAGGGGGCAAGGGGCGCAAGCCUUAUCCAGCCGUACCGCGUGGUUGAGGAAGGCCUUCGGGUGGGGAAUCCCUUUUGUCGGGAUAGAAAAGCAUCAGGUUAAUGCCCCGCUGUGCUUGCGGGACCCAAAUAAUGAGCACCGGCUAACUUCGUG
rnacentral:rRNA from 1 species